UACGAAGGGGGCUAGCGUUGCUCGGAGUCACUGGGCGUAAAGGGUGCGUAGGCGGGUCUUUAAGUCAGGGGUGAAAUCCUGGAGCUCAACUCCAGAACUGCCUUUGAUACUGAAGAUCUUGAGUCCGGGAGAGGUGAGUGGAACUGCGAGUGUAGAGGUGAAAUUCGUAGAUAUUCGCAAGAACACCAGUGGCGAAGGCGGCUCACUGGCCCGGUACUGACGCUGAGGCACGAAAGCGUGGGGAGCAAACAGG
rnacentral:rRNA from 1 species